rnacentral:miRNA from 1 species
GUAUAUAAUUGGAUGCUUUGUGC